UCCGGGAGACCUGAAAAAAGCAAAGCAGGGAAAGCGGGGAGGGGUUGACAGGGAUGAUCGGGAAGUGUAGGAUCAAACGGUUGACUCUUUCGGGGAGAAAAAAGCCCUGAAGAGAAAGACGCCCUGUGGAAACGCAGGGAGAGCGUCUCGGAUCAUUGACACUAAAUAGGAGCAGCAACGUCCAAUUAAAGGGCCCUGAUCACGAAACACAGGAACAAAAUGAAUCUGGAGAGUUUGAUCCUGGCUCAGAACGAACGCUGGCGGCGUGCCUAACACAUGCAAGUCCAACGUGAAAGGGGAGCAAUCCCCCGGUAGGGUGGCAAACGGGUGAGUAAUACAUGGGUGAUCUACCUUAGGGAUGGGGAUAUCCUUCCGAAAGGAGGGGCAAUACCGAAUAUUGUCCGGAGCCGUGAAGGGUUCC
rnacentral:rRNA from 1 species